GGGGAUGAUCGGUUUCGACAGCGGCUGUCGAAGCAGGGGAAGCGAGCCGAGGAAGCGGCAAUGAUCUCGUUAACCACAUGCCGAAACCAAUAAUCGCCAACAACAAGCGCGAUUCCUUCCGCCUCGCUGCCUGAGUAGCGAGGCGUGAAGUGUCAGCCCGGGGCUGUUCCCGACCCGGUGUCUGGCAUCAUUAAGGGGACUCCACCACCGGCUCCGGCCACGGGGGCCGGUGGGAAACCUCACAGUGGCUGAGCCCGUCGGAGACUUGUCCGCGUGAUCUCCGGGGCCGAGAAAAGCGAAGCGGACUGCGCUCGGAGAAGCCCUGAUUCCGCACCGUUGGACGCGGGUUCGAUUCCCGCCAUCUCCACGA
rnacentral:tmRNA from 1 species